AUUGAACGCUGGCGGCAUGCCUUACACAUGCAAGUCGAACGGGCUUUGGGGCUUGCUCCAAAGUUAGUGGCGAACGGGUGAGUAACACGUGGGCAACCUGCCUUAUAGAGGGGAAUAGCCUUCCGAAAGGAAGAUUAAUACCGCAUAACAUUGCAUUUUCGCAUGAAGAAGCAAUUAAAGGAGCAAUCCGCUAUAAGAUGGGCCCGCGGCGCAUUAGCUAGUUGGUGAGGUAACGGCUCACCAAGGCGACGAUGCGUAGCCGACCUGAGAGGGUGAUCGGCCACAUUGGGACUGAGACACGGCCCAGACUCCUACGGGAGGCAG
rnacentral:rRNA from 1 species